rnacentral:misc_RNA from 1 species
GGAAGUAAGAGUCGUAACAAGGUCUCCGUAGGUGAACCUGCGGAGGGAUCAUUACAGAGUUCUCGCCCUUACGGGUAGAUCUCCCACCCACUGUUAUCGUUACUGUCGUUUCUUUGGCGGGCCGCCGGGUCCCCGGCCGCCGGCGCCUAGCUGCCGGCGCGCGCCCGCCAGAGGCCUUCAAACUCUGAAUGUUAGUGUCGUCUGAGUACUAUAUAAUAGUUAAAACUUUCAACAACGGAUCUCUUGGUUCUG